UCUGUUUGCUUUGAAAUACUGUUUCCCAGCAAAGAAAAGGCCUGACCAUCGUGUACACAGCCAUCAACACAUACACAUCCAGUGGCUGGUACAUUCCUUUCAUCUUCACGCUGAUGGCUGUUUUCUUUGCCGGGUUGGCUUCCUGGGUAUGUUUCCUGCUUUGGAGAUACGGGAACGUCAUGGGAUGCUGUCAGAAAACGGCCAAGGAAGUCUCCAAGCCCAAACCCAAGGGAAUAAAGUACAUUGCAGGAGAUAGAAAUCAAAUGGAAAAGAUUGUCAUGGAAAACAGAAAUAAAAAACUGGAAGUAUUAACAGUAAGUACAUUUUUUAUGAGCCCUCC